CAUCAGAUGACUGAAGGCAAGUAAUGGUCUCUUAAACCAGUAAAUGGUACACUAGCAAGUAUCUCUGAUGA
rnacentral:tRNA from 1 species